AGUUCAAUAGUUUCAACAGGUCUACACAGUUGGAAGAGCAUGAGACUCUUGACCUCAGGGUUGUGGGUUCAAGGCCCCACGUUGGGCAA